GAAUUUCAAGUAUUCAAUUUCACUAAUAAGAUACAGAGACUUACUUCACAUUUGGAAUUAAACAGAAAAAAGUUCAUCAGAAAGAGGUCUACCGAGACUUUUGUAAAAAUGUCGACGUUUGUGGCUUAUUUGGCAAAGGAAAAGAGAAUAUGUUAUAACAAAUUAAUCGGUCGGCUGAAUAUUAGGGAGCAGUAA
rnacentral:rRNA from 1 species